rnacentral:rRNA from 1 species
CAGUAGCCGCGGUAAUACGUAGGGUGCGAGCGUUAAUCGGAAUUACUGGGCGUAAAGCGUGCGCAGGCGGUUUUGAAGACAGGCGUGAAAUCCCCGGGCUCCACCUGGGAAUGGCGCUUGUGACUGCAAAGCUAGAGUGCGGCGGAGGGGGAUGGAAUUCCGCGUGUAGCAGUGAAAUGCGUAGAUAUGCGGAGGAACACCGAUGGCGAAGGCAAUCCCCUGGGCCUGCACUGACGCUCAUGCACGAAAGCGUGGGGAGCAAACAGGAUUAGAUACCCGCGUAGUCCCUGUCUCUUAUACA